UCUCCUAAAGUGUCUUGUUUGUGCCAAGC
rnacentral:piRNA from 1 species